UUAUUAGUCGAGCUAGCUUCUCAACUGGUUCAGUACUGUGCUACAAAACUCUUACGCUGGAUCUGGUAGAAACUGGUCUCCACUGUUCAAGAACUAGAUCCCUACUGUUCAUAGCAAAAAAUCUUUCGUAUAUGUACCUAUUUUAUUUCUAAACCUUCUCCAAUCUCUAUCGAAUGAAACAUAAGAAAUAAGACGAGCCAGCAACAUAGGUAGUGAUAUCAAUCACCCAAAAGAUUGCGCCCUAACUCACUCUCGUUCCAUUAGAACUCCCGUUUUCCUUCAUCGUAGUAGCAGGAUCUCUGUUAGCAGGAGCUCUUCCUUCCAUCACAGUUGGCCUGCAGUAGCUGGGAUUGUAUCAAUUAGGGUAGAAGUGAGAAUGUUGAGGCCACAACGAUUGGGCCAGAUCGUGGAACUAGCCCAAUGGGUAGAGGAUCGCAACGAGUCCCUUAAGCGAGCUGAAGCUUCAGUCGGCCGAAUUAGAUCAAGAUCCUCUAAUUUGGCUCCAUCCUAUUCCAGCUCAUUUGGGGACAACCCAAACUAUACGAGUAUUUAUCCAAGAGGGGUGACUCGAGCUUCCCAAAUCAGCUAGCAAACUCUAAUUACAGCCCCCUGAUAAGACCAUAUUGAUGGAUAAUGAAACUCAAGAGAAAAGAUACGAAAAAGGGGCCAAAACGAAAGAAAUCGAAAGUUCAGGGACCAAAGUGUAAAUAUCCAAAAGAUGACCCAAAAGACGAAUCAAGAAUGCAAAUGAGCUUUUCUCUCAUGCCUUUCUUCGUUCAUAGUAGAAAGAUUAAUCAGUUAUUUUUGAUUCUAGGGGAAAGGCCUUUGAGUUCUUACAGUCGUAGGUCCUUCACUUUCAUUAAAAAAAGUUUUUUCAUUAA